rnacentral:lncRNA from 1 species
UAAAUGAUUUAGGAAAUUAUUUACAAGUAGAAUAAGUACAUAGAAUAUAGGUACAAUUAAAAGAAUAUACAUAUAAAUAUCCAUCCACAUAAUAUAAACCUCACAAAAGUGGAAAGGGGUUAUCAUUUUCAUCAUCCAUGUCAAGAUACUUGAAUCCAAGAGUAGUAGCAUUACCAUUUGGAUCCUGAUAAUUAAAGGAUUGAUUCACAUAGCACUUCAUUUCAUGAAAUAGAUUCAAAUUAUCCACAAGCUUGUGAAACACAUUACAUCCACAACACUGCACCAAUCCAAUCAAGACGUCGUUAGCCUUUGCGAUUAACCACCGAAGCAUCCAUGGUCGGUAUAAAACCAGUUUCAAGGCGAAAACCGCAAAAUGCACUUGUACAUAACCGCCUUAUGUAUCAUAGUUAAAGUAAAAAAGUACAAGUGCUUAUACAGAUCUCGUAGUUCUCUACUUAAAAUUAGUUCUAACUAGAAAAAACGGGGCAAAAUACAGUAGCGGAUCUAAAAAAUAAUUUUCAAAAAAAUUACACUACUGCUGGAGCGUCAAGGGUAGCGAGGGCUACCCCUUGUUCUAAGGUAUAUCCACCCCUGGCAAAAUACACACACCACUAGGGGUGUAAACAAGGGGUAGCGAGGGCUACCCCUAAUUUAAAGUUGAUAGCGAAAAUCAGAAAAAUAAUGUAUAAUACGGGUUCUCUUUCAUGAAUUCUCUCAACAAAAUUCGCGCAUAUGCCAAAAGAUUGCCAAUUUACCAAACAUCUCAUCGGCUCCACAAUGUUCAAAGCGUCUAACAAAUAAGAAAUACGUCUAUCAAAUAGAAUAAUUAACACUGAAAAUAUAAAAAGUAGCACAUAAAGCAUCUACCAAAGAGAAAUAGUUUUAAAAAUGACGAGUCACGUGUGGCGACAGAUGGCGUGUACACUAAAAUGACAAAUAAGAUCCCAUAGACGACAGGGAUGAAAAGAAAUUCGCCAUUCAAAAAAAAAAAAAUCUUUCUAAAAUCAGCUAAAAUUAAUUUGGUUGACUUUACCCAAAAAAUUAAUUUGGUUGAACGGGUCAUACGUUACUACAACCAGUAAGAAAAACGAAACUUGGUUACUAACACUGGUAAUUAAACACAAGAGUAAACUUCCAUUUUGCUCCCUGUGGUUUGGUCGUUUUAACGGUUUUGAUUUUGGAUAGAAGAUUGAGAGAGAUGAUACGAUUGAUGCGGACGAAGCUAGGGUUUCCAUGAUUCUAAUAAUUAGGGAUGAUUUACUGAUGGAAAGAUGAAAUUGUUGUGUUGUAGAGGGGUUGAAUUGAUUGUUUGAGGUAUUGGUGAGGAAAGAUUUGGGGGAAAUCGAGUGGUUAGGGU